rnacentral:rRNA from 1 species
UGGGGAAUAUUGGACAAUGGGCGAAAGCCUGAUCCAGCCAUGCCGCGUGUGUGAAGAAGGCCUUCGGGUUGUAAAGCACUUUCGGACGGAACGAAAUCGCGCGGGCGAAUACCCCGCGUGGAUGACGGUACCGUAAGAAGAAGCACCGGCUAACUACGUGCCAGCAGCCGCGGUAAUACGUAGGGUGCGAGCGUUAAUCGGAAUUACUGGGCGUAAAGUGUGCGCAGGCGGCCGAGCAAGUCGAGUGUGAAAGCCCCGAGCUUAACUUGGGAAUUGCGCUCGAAACUACUUGGCUGGAGUGUGGCAGAGGAGGGUGGAAUUCCACGUGUAGCGGUGAAAUGCGUAGAGAUGUGGAGGAACACCGAUGGCGAAGGCAGCCCUCUGGGCCAACACUGACGCUCAUGCACGAAAGCGUGGGGAGCAAAACAGGAUUAGAUACCCUAGUAGUCCCUGAGCGGGCUGGCAAGGCGCAU